UACGAAGGGGGCUAGCGUUGUUCGGAUUAACUGGGCGUAAAGGGUGCGUAGGCGGGUUUUUAAGUCAGGGGUGAAAUCCCGAGGCUCAACCUCGGAACUGCCUUUGAUACUGGAAAUCUUGAGUCUGGGAGAGGUGAGUGGAACUGCGAGUGUAGAGGUGAAAUUCGUAGAUAUUCGCAAGAACACCAGUGGCGAAGGCGGCUCACUGGCCCGAUACUGACGCUGAGGCACGAAAGCGUGGGGAGCAAACAGG
rnacentral:rRNA from 1 species